rnacentral:rRNA from 1 species
AGGACGAACGCUGGCGGCGUGCUUAACACAUGCAAGUCGAACGGAAAGGCCCUUCGGGGUACUCGAGUGGCGAACGGGUGAGUAACACGUGGGUGAUCUGCCCUGCACUUUGGGAUAAGCCUGGGAAACUGGGUCUAAUACCGAAUAGGACCACGGCAUGCAUGUGCUGUGGUGGAAAGCUUUUGCGGUGUGGGAUGGGCCCGCGGCCUAUCAGCUUGUUGGUGGGGUGAUGGCCUACCAAGGCGACGACGGGUAGCCGGCCUGAGAGGGUGUCCGGCCACACUGGGACUGAGAUACGGCCCAGACUCCUACGGGAGGCAGCAGUGGGGAAUAUUGCACAAUGGGCGCAAGCCUGAUGCAGCGACGCCGCGUGGGGGAUGACGGCCUUCGGGUUGUAACCCUUUCAGUAGGGACGAAGCGCAAGUGACGGUACCUACAGAAGAAGCACCGGCCAACUACGUGCCAGCAGCCGCGGUAA